UUCUGGCCAUUCUAAACACGAAGCCUAAAGCCAUUCUCUCUCGAUUUCAACUCCCAAAAACUCAAAUUUCAAUCUUUUUAUACCCAGAUUCACAUGUCACUUUACUGAGAUAAAGAAAGGGCAAAUGGACGUAAAUUUCAUGUGUUUAUGAGGUAUUUGUAGCAUGCACUGCUUGACUUUACGUGAGAUUUGGGACUGAGGAGCUGUAACGAGAACUGGGUUUCAAAUUCGAAGAAUUCUAAUUAAGUGUGAAGAGAUGAUAAUUAACUAAAGAGAAUGAGAAAUAUGGUGAAUGGGCUAUUACCCAUGUUUUGCACGAUGUCACUGCUGUGUUAGUAUUCGUAGCACUAUUUGAAGGACACUUCAAAUACAAUAUAUUUGAGCUUAAACGAGAUGAUUCUUGUCCUGCUCAGGUAUAAGUAAUCAAUUUGAUGAACCCUCAUAGUAGACGAGGUUAGCAUUCAGCGAAGGAUCGGUAAGACUCCACCUCAUUUAGAGUGCAGUCGCGUCUAUGAGCCAUCAUGUCAGAGUUUUGCUUUAGACUUAUAGGUAGGUCGAUACCCUGUCCCAUUUGAUGUUAAAUAAUCUUAGAGGCUUUGUAGACAGAAGUUCAUUUUGUACAGUAUGUCACAGGC